rnacentral:rRNA from 1 species
UACAGAGGGGGCAAGCGUUGUUCGGAAUUACUGGGCGUAAAGGGCGCGUAGGCGGCCUACUAAGUCAGACGUGAAAUCCCCCGGCUUAACCUGGGAACUGCGUCUGAUACUGGAAGGCUUGAGGAUGGGAGAGGGAUGUAGAAUUCCAGGUGUAGCGGUAGAAAUGCGUAGAUAUCUGGAAGGAAUACCGGUGGCGAAGGCGGCAUCCUGGACCAUUACUGACGCUGAGGCGCGAAAGCUAGGGGAGCAAACGGG